GGUAACCACUAUUGCCCUAGCUCUCCCCUUGCCAUGGCUAAAGGCAAAUAGGUGGAGUUGUUCUAAUGCACACGUAAACAAUAUUAUCUGAUUAAAUAAUCCGACCGACGCGGUAAACCACGUGACGUGGCCCCCGCUACGGCAGGACACAGGACAAACGUUUUGCGCGCAUAUGUACGGAAUCUUCCCCUUUGGCUUAGAAGACUGCGACUCUACAGCUUUGGUUUCCCGUUCCCGUUCCCGUUCCCUCUCUCCCUCUAGUCUUCGCCUCUGAGCGACUCUCUCUUUUUCUGCAUCUCUCUGAAUAUUGUGAGGACAGAGAAAAAAACAGUGGAAAUGGAGAGCAAGAAUCCUUCGGAGGAAACUAUUCGUUGAUGGAAAAAAGCCGUCACGCACGUCAAGAACCUUCGCAGGAGGUUCCGCUACGUCGCCGAUCUCGCUAAGCGGUCCGAGGCCGAGAAGAAGAAGCUUCAAAGACAGCCUGAAAAUCUUGCUGGUGAUCGAUCCAAUGAAAAGCCAGGACAGGAUGAAUACAAGCUGUCUGAAGAUGCCAGAACUGCAGGUUUCAGCAUUCUCCCUGAUGAACCUGCAUCUAUCACGUGUGGCCAUGAUCUUAAGGACUUGAAAAUGCAUGGUGCUGGUGAUCGAUCCAAUGAAAAGCCAGGACAGGAUGAAUACAAGCUGUCUGAAGAUGCCAGAAUUGCAGGUUUCAGCAUUUACCCAGAUGAACUUGCAUCUAUCACGUGUGGCCAUGAUAUUCAGGCCUUGAAAAUGCAUGGUGGAAUUCAUGGGAUUUUAAGGAAAGUCUCUGUCUCGCUAGAUGAAGGUGUCAAGGAUAGUAACAUACCAAUCAGGCAAAAUGUUUAUGGCUUAAACCGCUAUACGGAGAAACCUCCUGGAACAUUUUUUAUGUUUGUAUGGGAAGCCCUACAAGACUUAACAUUAAUUAUCCUUAUGGUAUGUGCUGUGGUUUCAAUAGGAGUUGGAAUUGCCACUGAGGGGUGGCCAAAAGGCAUGGACGAUGGUGUGGGAAUUUUAAUUAGUAUAGUCUUAGUCGUUGUGGUUACUGCCAUUAGUGACUACAGACAAGCAUUGCAAUUCAAGGAUUUGGACAGGGAGAAGAAAAAGAUUUUCGUUCAGGUCACUAGGGAUAAAAAAAGACAAAAAGUUUCCAUUUAUGACUUGGUUGUUGGAGAUAUUGUCCAUUUGUCAAUUGGGGACCAAGUUCCAGCAGAUGGAUUUUUCAUAUCAGGAUACUCUUUGCUGAUUGAUGAGUCAAGCUUGUCAGGUGAGAGUGAGCCAGUGAAUGUAUAUGAAGAGAAGCCUUUUCUUCUUUCAGGAACUAAAGUGCAGGAUGGGUCAGGUAUAAUGCUGGUGACAACAGUUGGUAUGAGAACUAAAUGGGGAAAGUUGAUGACAGCUCUGAGUGAAGAAGAAGAAGAUGAGACCCCACUGCAGGUAAAGCUGAAUGGUGUUGCUAUAAUUAUUGGUAAAAUUGGUCUGACUUUUGCUGUGUUGACAUUUUCGGUAUUGGCAGUAAGAUUUUUGGUGGAAAAAAUACUUAACAACGAGAUCACUGAUUGGUCUUCAACCGAUGCGGUAAUCCUAUUGAACUACUUUGCUAUUGCGGUAACUAUAAUUGUUGUUGCAGUUCCCGAAGGAUUACUAUUGGCAGCGACGCUGAGCCUUGCUUUUGCUAUGAAAAAAUUAAUGAAUGAUAGGGCACUCGUAAGGCAUCUCUCAGCAUGUGAGACAAUGGGUUCUGCUAGUUGCAUUUGCACAGAUAAAACAGGGACAUUAACCACAAACCACAUGGUAGUUAACAAGAUAUGGAUAUGUGGAAAACCUUUAGAUGUAAAAGGUAAUGAGAGUAAAGAAAUAUUGAGUUCAGAAAUAUCUGGAGCAUCAAGCAUCCUUUUACAGGUUAUAUUCCAAAAUACAAGCUCUGAGGUUGUUAUGGAAGAUGGAAAGACCUCCAUUUUGGGGACACCAACAGAGUUAGCAUUAUUAGAAUUUGGUUUACUUUUGGGUGGCGAUUUUGAUGCCGUGCGCAGAGAGGUUAAUAUUCAUAAGGUUGAACCUUUCAAUUUUGUGAGGAAGAAAAUGUCUGUGCUUGUAGAUCAUCCUCAUGGUGGGAAACGAGCCUUUUGCAAAGGUGCAUCAGAAAUAGUACUGAGAAUGUGUAACAAAUUUAUUGACUUUAAUGGAGAAUCUGUUAUUCUCUCCCUAGAACAGGUAAAGAAUAUCACGGAUGUCAUUAAUUCUUUUGCUUCUGAAGCCUUGAGAACGCUCUGCUUGGCUUUCAAAAAUAUAGAUGACUCUUCCAUCGAAAAUGAAAUCCCAGAUGAUGGCUAUACAUUGAUAGCAGUUGUCGGUAUCAAGGAUCCUGUGCGCCCUGGGGUCAAGGAUGCAGUUCAAACUUGUUUAGCUGCUGGAAUAACUGUACGAAUGGUCACUGGUGACAAUUUAAAUACGGCUAAAGCCAUAGCUAAAGAAUGCGGCAUACUCACAGAAGAUGGUUUAGCCAUAGAAGGACAGGAGUUUCAUAACAUGUCUCCUGAGCAGAAGAAAGCUGUUAUACCGAGAAUUCAGGUGAUGGCCCAGUCUUUACCAUUGGAUAAGCACACCUUGGUAAAAACUCUGAGAGAUGAAUUUGGUGAGGUAGUUGCAGUGACUGGCGAUGGGACCAACGACGCUCCUGCUUUGCAUGAGGCAGACAUUGGACUUGCUAUGGGCAUAGCAGGAACAGAGGUUGCCAAGGAAAGUGCUGAUGUUAUCAUAUUGGAUGACAAUUUUAAGACUAUAGUAAAUGUGGCCAGAUGGGGACGUUCAGUGUACGUAAACAUUCAAAAGUUUGUGCAGUUCCAGUUGACAGUUAACGUUGUUGCUCUAAUAAUCAAUUUUGUUUCUGCAUGUGUCUCGGGAUCUGCUCCCCUUACGGCUGUGCAAUUGCUUUGGGUCAACAUGAUUAUGGACCCUCUUGGGGCAUUGGCACUGGCAACAGAGCCUCCAAAUGAUGGACUUAUGAAAAGGCCCCCUGUUGGGAGGGAUUCAAGCUUCAUAACCAAGGCCAUGUGGAGGAAUAUCAUUGGCCAGAGUAUCUAUCAACUGAUUGUCCUUGGAGUUCUCAAUUUCUAUGGGAAACAGCUACUUGGACUUUCUGGUUCAGAUGCAACUGAAGUUCUAGACACUGUGAUAUUCAACGCAUUUGUGUUUUGCCAGGUGUUUAAUGAGAUAAACAGCCGUGACAUAGAGAAGAAAAACAUAUUCGUGGGCAUGUUUGACAGCCGGGUAUUCCUAGGCGUCGUGGUUUGCACAGUGGCCUUCCAAGUUAUCAUUGUAGAGUUCUUGGGAGCUUUUGCUAGCACUGUUCCACUAAGCUGGCAACUAUGGUUACUCUGCAUUUUACUUGGAUCAGUUAGCAUGCUUGUUGCAGUUGUGCUCAAGAACCCUUGCAGGAGGUUCCGCUUCGUCGCCAAUCUCGAUAAGGGGUCCGAGGCCGACAAGAAGCGGUGUUAAAUCCAGGCUACUUGGGUAGCGUUCUUACUCACUUGCCUCUGCCUAGAGAUUUUGUCACUUGCUUUUGAUCGGGCUUCCUCCCCAAGUAAGCCCCAAUAUGCACUGUUUGGUAUGAUAUUGGCUAUUGCAGCUGUACCCAUUUAUCAAAAAGUACGUUGCUGCUGGUGGUGUUCUUAGAUCAAGCUCUGUGAUGUGGGUUAGAGGGUUUGCUGCUAAUUGUUUGUUGUGUUCGACUACCCAAGGAUAAUACAUAUUUGUAAUGAGUCUGAUACCUAAUAGUGGCUACUCAAUUGUGGCAGCGUAUUGUUAUAGAUGAAUUGUCCCACUAUACAAAUAGCUUUGUAAUAUCAUUUUGGCAACGCAAUUUGCCCCCUUGCACCCGAGUUUGAUCCACCUCUUCGUAUAUUAGAGUAAUUUAUAAUAUCGUUUUAUAAUUUAAAAAAAUCA